UACGGAGGGGGCUAGCGUUGUUCGGAAUUACUGGGCGUAAAGCGCACGUAGGCGGACUGGAAAGUCAGAGGUGAAAUCCCAGGGCUCAACCUUGGAACUGCCUUUGAAACUAUCAGUCUGGAGUUCGAGAGAGGUGAGUGGAAUUCCGAGUGUAGAGGUGAAAUUCGUAGAUAUUCGGAGGAACACCAGUGGCGAAGGCGGCUCACUGGCUCGAUACUGACGCUGAGGUGCGAAAGCGUGGGGAGCAAAC
rnacentral:rRNA from 2 species